GACUCUCGGCAACGGAUAUCUCGGCUCUCGCAUCGAUGAAGAACGUAGCGAAAUGCGAUACUUGGUGUGAAUUGUAGAAUCCCGUGAAUCAUCGAGUCUUUGAACGCAAGUUGCGCCCGAAAGCCCUCUCGGGGGCCGAGGGCACGUCUGCCUGGGUGUCACGCA
rnacentral:rRNA from 1 species